CAAUAGCGUAUAUUAAAGUUGUUGCAGUUAAAAAGCUCGUAGUUGGAUUUCUGUCCAAAUAGACCGUCCCGCCCUCUGGGUGUGUGUCUGGUCCGGUUGGACAUUCUUCUGGGGUACGUCCGGCAUCUUGGCGGUGUUGGACGGAACUCAGAUCCUUUACUUUGAGAAAAUUAGAGUGUUUCAAGCAAGCUUCUGCUUUGAAUACUGCAGCAUGGAAUAAUAUGAUAGGACUUUGGCUCUAUUUGUUGGUUUCUAGUACCGAAGUAAUGAUUAAUAGGGACAGUUGGGGGCAUUCGUAUUUAACUGUCAGAGGUGAAAUUCUUGGAUUUGUUAAAGACGAACUACUGCGAAAGCAUUUGCCAAGGAUGUUUNCAUUG
rnacentral:rRNA from 1 species